GUUAACCAUCUAGGGGAGCCGUAGGGAAACCGAGUCUUAACUGGGCGUUCAGUCUCUGGAUAUAGACCCGAAACCAGGUGAUCUAGCCAUGGGCAGGUUGAAGGUUGAGUAACAUCAACUGGAGGACCGAACCGACUAAUGUUGAAAAAUUAGCGGAUGACUUGUGGCUAGGGGUGAAAGGCCAAUCAAACCUGGAGAUAGCUGGUUCUCCCCGAAAGCUAUUUAGGUAGCGCCUCGGACGAAUACUACUGGGGGUAGAGCACUGUUAAGGCUAGGGGGUCAUCCCGACUUACCAACCCUUUGCAAACUCCGAAUACCAGUAAGUACUAUCCGGGAGACACACGGCGGGUGCUAACGUCCGUCGUGGAGAGGGAAACAACCCAGACCGCCAGCUAAGGUCCCAAAUUACUACUAAGUGGGAAACGAUGUGGGAAGGCUCAGACAGCCAGGAUGUUGGCUUAGAAGCAGCCAUCAUUAAAGAAAGCGUAAUAGCUCACUGGUCGAGUCGGCCUGCGCGGAAGAUGUAACGGGGCUAAGUAGUAAACCGAAGCUGCGGCAAUAUACUUUUGUAUAUUGGGUAGGGGAGCGUUCUGUAAGCGGU
rnacentral:rRNA from 1 species